UCACUGCAACGACAGACUGAGGGCAAACAAAAUUAAACCAGUUGGGUGAAUUAGCUCAGCAAGUGGCAGUUCACAGGAGGGUCUUUAUCUACUCUUUCCACAGACUGUGUGUGCAUAAUUGCAGGUUUUUCUGGAGGUUUUUUUGAGGUUAUUCUGCCAACUGUCUUUGUCAGUCUGGGGCACUGUUGCUUGGGAUGAAAGAGAUUCUGGCUGGUUUUCAUGUAUUAGAAGCUCUACAAACAAGCAUUUUUCAACUAGAAACUGAGGGGAGAAAAGAAAGCUGAGACUCAUAGAAUUCCAACCCGGAGAACUGUGGGCAACAGUGAGAAUACACCACAUAGGAUAUUAAAGAGUUACUGAAUGAGUGAAUAGUCACCGGUCUUGAAGAGAGCAGAAGACUGAUUCAACAGAGAAGUCCAAACACCUCUCCGUGAAGUGUUUUCAGAGUUUAUCCCCUGCUGAAAGUCUCCUCUAAGUUCUUUGCUGUUGCCCAGCCAACACCUGAGGGAUCACAAACAAACCUGGGAGUAAGUAAUUAAAAUUCAAAG